ACAACUUUCAGUUGAGAACAGAGAGAUCCAGUAUCACCUAACCUGUUCAUGUGAAACACAACGAACGUAUUCAUCAACUAAAGGGAGUGUAGUUCUGUAAAUAAUAGAAGUUGCCCAACACGAGGCCUACUAGUUCGGCAAAUACCAAAUCAUCUGGAGAGAGAAAGAUGCUGUAACCGGUAUGAUGACAUUUCUACGUUUCUGUGCAGUGACACGAAGCAGCUCCUCCAUACAGCUCCUCUCAUUCCCUCCUGUUGAAGCUGUGAUCGAAGAGAAGACUCUCUGAAGCGAGUGAAGAAGUCGCUGACAUUUUUCCAGACAUGCAAAAAUAUUUCGAUUCUAGCGAGCCUCCAUCUAGCCACCAGUGAGAGGAGAGCAGUAUCUGUAAGGGAUCCAGGAAGUCCAAGACGGACAGAGAGAAAGAGAGAUACGCAAGCUAUUCUUUCCAGCCCCUCUUUGGAAGACAAAAGGAAGCUUGUAAAGAAGAAAAAAAAAAAAAAAAGAAGAAAAAAAGCUUCUUUAUUGUUAAAAACCAGCAGCGCGUUUUAGGCCUUUCAGCAGAAAGAGAAUAGCAGAAAUAAUAUGAUCAUGUCCUGUAAAAUGUUCCUUUCACAAUACUUAAAAGGAAAUAGGCCUAGCAUAUGGCAAUGUUUAGUGAUAUAGGGUUUUAUAGGCCUAGGGACAUGACAAAAUGUGUGUGUAAUGAACAGUCUCCUGAACCAUGCUGAUGUAGGUGCAGAGAGAUGACAAGACCUUCUGAUCACUGGAGGAAGAGGAACUAAAGCAAGUUAGCUUUCUCUUCAACACAUGCACCCCCCCCCCUGCCCCAGACCCACAAACAGCACAGCUGAAACAUCUUCUCUCAUCAACAGUUCUCUAUAGACCAGCGGUAGACAGAGUACAGCCUUUUGUUUUUGUCACAUCAUCAGGGCCAUGCUGACUUCAGUUGAAACAGGAAGAGCACUCUCCAUCCUCUUCCUUUUCCUACAUCAGCAGGAAAGAAGUAGAGUGGGACCCUAAAAACACUUUGAAUGCCCCAGAACAGCUCGGGCUAAUAUGCCUUCUCUACGACAAAACAAAACAACAACAAAAUCCAGCGAAUAGUUUUGAAAGUCAUGACCUGUAGGUUUUUUUUUUUUUAACAUUGAUGUUCCGAUGCGCUCAUUGGGAGCCAAGUGGGUUCCGGAACGCAGUGGUAGAAAUGCGGUUGCACAGAUUCCGUACGGUAGCGGUCUCGAUGAGGAGUGGUGGGGCCUAUAUAGAACGCAGGAAGGACGCCAGGUAGGGAAGGAUCAUGAUGCUGUGUAGAACGGAGCCAUCAGCCAGCCAGUCCCACUGAGCCGCCAUACACUCCAGGGGGUUUGUAUGGAAAUCAGCCUGACCUCUCUGUGCCUCCUACUCUCCUCUCUGUUUUAUACCACUCUGCAUUACCAAGAAUUUGAGCUGUAUGGUUUGUGUCACUUUGCAAUCAUUGUUUUUUUGCUUGACACAUUUUAAAGUCACAACUUCUGUUGCCGUGGAAUUGCCCUUUAGUUUCUGACAUUGACGUUGCAUCCAUUGACAUUGCUCCCACCACCCCUCCCCCUUCUUGAUAAAGCAAAAGCCAGAAAGCAAUUUUAUGAUACACACACAGGUCAGGUAGACAGUAUUAACGAUUUGGCAGUGUGUAGAAAGUGCUGAUGUUGCCUUUGGAGGCCAGGGAAAGGCCUAACGUCGAUGAGAGCAUAACACUAUUGCCAAUAACCAAGAUGAAGGAGAGAAGGAGGAGGAGGUGGAAGGAGAGGAGGGUCAUUCCUGUUGACUGCAGGUCAAGUCCUGGAGGACGAGUGUGGUGGUCACUGGAUAACAAGAAUGUGUGUGUGUGUGUGUGUGUGUGUGUGUGUGUGUGUGUGUGUGUGUGUGUGUGUGUGUGUGUGUGUGUGUGUGUGUGUGUGUGUGUGUGGCAGCCAGUGCCUCACUAAUGAAACAGUAUCACUUUAGCUGCGUGAUUGAGUGAGUGAUUGAUUGAGUAAGUGAGAUUUUGACCAAGUGUCUAAUUCACAACACUGAGUGACCUACACACACACAAUAUUAACAGAUCCAGACAAAGGGCAGUGGUUGGCUCGGUGCUCCAGACUCCAUUCAGGACCUGUAAGAGCUUAAUAAGAGGGAGAGAGAGGGCGAGGGAGAGAGAGGGUGAGGGAGAGAGCAGGAGGGAGAGAGAGGACGAGGGAGAGAGAGGACGAGGGAGAGAGAGGACGAGGGAGAGAGAAAGAGGGCGAUGAAGAGGGAGAGAGAGUGUGAGGGAGGGAGGGAGGGAGGGAGAGAGAGAGAGGACGAGAGAGAGGGCAAGGGAGAGUGCGAGGGAGAGAGAGAUGAAGGAGAGAGAGGGAGAGGGAGAGAGAGAGGAUGAGGGAGAGAGAGAGAGGGCGAUGAAGAGGGAGAAAGAGUGUGAGGGAGGGAGAGAGAGGACGAGGGAGAAAGAGAUGAAGAAGGAGAGCGAGGGAGAGGGAGAGAGAGAGGACGAGGGAGAGAGAGAGGGCGAUGAAGAGGGAGAGAGAGUGCGAGGGAGAGAGAUGAAGAAGGAGAGCGAGGGAGAGGGAGAGAGAGAGAGAGGGUGAGGAAGAGAGAAGAUGGUCCAACACAAACCUAAUUAAACACACGGAUGCUGACAGUAAUGGCUGCAGUGUUAUUUGUGCCUUCUUGCUCCACAAGGACAUUUCAGACAGGAAACACACAAGCGCUCCCACACACACACACACACACACACACACACACACACACACACACACACACACACACACACACACACACACACACACACACACACAGGCCGAGAGAGAGACAGGAAGCAACAACACAGAAAGAAUGUGAUUAGUCUGACGAGUCCACAAAAGGGCUGGGAAUUGCCAGGGACUUCAUAAUACGAUGUUAUCACGAUACUUAGGUGCCAAUAGGAUUCCCACGAUUCUAUAUUAUUAUUAUUGUUAUUUUACUGCUACUCUUUAAUUACUUGUUACUUUCAUUUCUUAUUCUUAUCUGUAUUUAUUUAUUUUACUGCAUUGUUGGUUAGGGGCUCGUAAGUAAGCAUUUCACUGUAAGGUCUACUACACCUGUUGUGACUAAUACGCAUGUGACUAAUUUGAUUUGAUUUGAUAUAUGUAUUGAGAUUCAAUACUGUGAUUUUAUUGUGAUUCGAUGUUCCAAAGAUAUUGUUCACCAUAUUUCCUGCCGCAGAGGGACAAGUCAUGAGAAACUGAGUUCUGAUCAGUCAUGGAAAUAAAAGUGCUGAAAACGAA